rnacentral:rRNA from 1 species
CGCCGGGGAAAAAAAAACCUACCCGGGCUGGACAAGCACCGGAUGGCGGAAAAAAAAGGUUUUUCCCUUGGGGGGGGAAAACAGGUGGUGCAUGGUGGUCGUCAGCUCGUGUCGGGAAAUGUUGGUUAGAUUCCCGCAAGGAGCCCAACCCCUUUUUAGUUUCCCAGCCCAUGAAGGUGAUCAUCAUGAGAAACUGCCGAUUACGAUCCGAAGAUAGUUAGAUGGCCUCAAAUAAUCUGCCUACUUUGUCCCUAGUUACCCCCUUGUUAAGAUAUCCGUUCCGCGGAUUGCCAAACCUGGAAUUUUAGUUACUCCUAGACCCGCCCCCGCUCCGAUUUAGUCUGCCACAGACCCCAAUGAUCGAGUCGCUUUUUCGCAGUCAGGAACGCGCCUCUUUCUC